GGGAGGUAGUGACAAUAAAUAACAAUACGGGGUUCUUUCGGAUCUCGUAAUUGGAAUGAGUACAAUUUAAAUCUCUUAACGAGGAACAAUUGGAGGGCAAGUCUGGUGCCAGCAGCCGCGGUAAUUCCAGCUCCAAUAGCGUAUAUUAAAGUUGUUGCAGUUAAAAAGCUCGUGGUUGAAUUUCGAGAUCAAAUUGUUGGUCGUGCCUCGGUACGUACUGGCAUCGUCGGUUUCUCCCUUCUGACGAACCAUGAUGUCAUUUAUUUGGUGUUGUGGGGAAUCAGGACUGUUACUUUGAAAAAUUAGAGUGUUUAAAGCAGGCUCACGCUUGAAUACAUUAGCAUGGAAUAAUGAAAUAGGACGUUUGAUUCUAUUUUGUUGGUUUCUAGGAUCGACGUAAUGAUUAAUAGGGAUAGUUGGG
rnacentral:rRNA from 1 species